UAAUGUGGGGUUCAUUGCGCUUCAAAGUCCAGGAAGAAGCGCAGGAGCGCAAAACACGUUGACAAUUAAGAUUGAUUGAGGGAGGACCCGUAGCAGAAAACUUGGCUUCAGCGGUGACGUCACUGAAGGAACAGCGUGAAGCCUAGAGCACGGAGUCAGCGUCUCUCCCCACUUCAAAUUUGUUAAGAGAAACUAAAAGAUCUGCCCUCUCUUGGGAUUUCACAGAAUGUGCACUGGCCUACUACUGUCAUAUGGAAGCAGUUAUGUAUAUUAUUAAUAUCAACAGGAACUAAAAAAAUCCUAUAAAUACGUUCUUCUGAAGCUACCAACAUUAUUCUGCAGCUGGCAGAACUCUGCUCCUGCCCUGUUUCUGUGCAAAUUUCAACUUGAGAUUUGAUAAAACACAAUAUCAAGUGAGAAAGGCAAGGUCAGAUAUGGCAGAUUGUGGACAACAUUGUGCAAAUGAAAAAUCAAAAGAAGAACAAUAACUGGACCUGGAUGGUAUAAUGUGGGAUUGGAGUACCCAACAGACAUAAUAUAUUAAAAGAGCACUGCACGCUAAAAAUAACUACAACAUAGAAAGGAACAUUGGGAUUUUUUUCUGGUGGUGAAGGUAGAUGUAACAGUAGCAGUGAUGUAGAUGUAGCAGUGAAUGGAAAUUGGUGAAUUUAACAUAGUCGGAGGACAGAUAAAAGAUUGAUACAGUCAGAUAAAGCCAGAAGACUGACAUUCAUUAAUUAAGUAUGGUGAUCUAUCAACAAGGAAUGAAGGUAGACUCAUUUUUCAGAGUGCUUUACAGAUAUGAAACAUAAUUUACAUCAGUCCAUGCCCCAGUGGAGCUUACAGUCUAAGGUCCCUUUCACAUUCACACACUAGGGCAUUCAGGGAGGGUGACUUUUUUGUUCGGUGGGGCAAAAGAUGGGCGAUACAUAGACUGACUUAAAGCUAAUGUGAGACUUAGUGGAUUCACUGCUGACGUAAAAUGAACCUCCCAACCACCUCUGGUGGUUCCCAUUAACAUCCAGGCAUACAGUGCAAAAGUGCAGGCAGGAGUGCUUUUUUCACCCGAAAAUGUUUAGGAUGUAAAAGUAUUCAUACAUUCACUUCUGUAAGGGGUUCUCCAUCAAUUUGUGUUUGUGAUAAGUUAGCUUAAAUGUGUUUUAGUUCAUUUUAUAAAUAGAAAGGCAGUGAGCACUGAAACCCAACAUUGGUUUGUUUCCCAGCAAUGCAGUCUCACGUGGGCACCACUGUAACUGACUAGAAAUAGACAAAACAAUGA